GACGAACGCUGGCGGCGUGCUUAACACAUGCAAGUCGAACGGAGUGGCGAACGGGUGAGUAACACGUGGGUGACCUGCCCUGCACUUCGGGAUAAGCCUGGGAAAAUGGGUCUAAUACCGGCUAGUGGGGGAUGGGCCCGCGGCCUAUCAGCUUGUUGGUGGGGUAAUGGCCUACCAAGGCGGCGACGCGUAGCCGGCCUGAGCGGGUGGACGGCCACAUGUGGACUGAGACAGGGGCCAGAGGACUACGGGAGGCAGGGAGGGGAAAUAGUGGAAAAAAGGCGGAGGGCUGAUGGAGGGACGCCGCGGGGGGGAUGACGGCCUUCGGGUAGGAAACUCCUUUGAGCGUAGACGCGGUAGAUGGAGAAGAAGCACCGGCUAACUACGUGCCAGCAGCCGCGGUAAUAC
rnacentral:rRNA from 1 species